CCUCGUCAAAAGCUUAAGUUCAAACCUUCACUUCUUCUUUCAUCACUUCAGCCGUCACAGAAUCCUGGUAGCCAAAAUGAUUUUCAAGAGGUACAUUGAGAUUGGAAGGGUUGCUCAGAUCAACUACGGCAAAGACUAUGGGAGGCUAGUGGUCAUUGUCGAUGUCAUUGACCAGAACAGAUGGUAGAGAAGAUGAAUUUGAGAAGAUGAAUUUGAAAUCUGAAACUCUUUGAAUGGACAAAGGAAAAAAGGAGCAUUUGGUGAAUUUGCUACUGGGAUUGGAAACAGUGAUGUUGGUUUUGUUUUGGGAAUUAGGAAGCUUAUGUUCCAGGUAUACUUAAGAUUAUGUGUGCAGUUUAAUACUUAAGAUUAUGAUUGAUUAAGUAACAACUGUUGUGUGCAACACUGGAAUGAAUAUUAUCUUUUUGCACCCCUAUUAGCUGGCAAGGAAAUUUACUUUGCUAAUUAUUAAAUCUCCUUCCGUGUCAAAUAAAAUAUCUUGCUAAAAGAAUACAUUCUGUGUCAAAUAAAAUAUCUUGCUAAAAGGUAAUUAUUUUUUUUAAUUUUAAACUUUAUUCAUGACUAAUACUUGAAAUCAAUCUUGUUGUAUUUUUACCAUUCAAGAAUAAACGACUAAUAUUUUAUCCACAAAAUACUUGUAUUUAAAAUAAUAUGUUGGUCAUUCAAAAAGUAAAACACAACCAUAACAAAGAUAAUCUUACUCAUAAUUUAAAAAGUACAAAACAUAACCAUAACAAAGAUAACCCUUCUCAUAAUUUAAUUUUUCUCCUUUUUGACUGUCUUGCUCAUCUUGGUAGUUGACAUUUGAGCAUUUUUUAAUUCUUGUGAUAAUUGAUUAUCAUUGUCAAUAUCUGAACACAAUCUCUUGCAUGGAGUUACAGAAAAUGAUGUAUUUGGAUCAUGAUUUGUUGAUCCACAAAAACUUUCCUACAAAAGUAAAGAAUAUAUAUAAGGUCCUAUUAUAUGAUGUAAUAAAGAGGAAAUAAAAACGAUAUAUCAAUAUACUUACAAUACAAGUUUCUGUAUCAGCUCCUAAAUCAUAAAUUUCACUCAAUUGUCCACUAUGCUGAAAUUAGAAGAAAUUAUUAUAUUAGAUGCACAUAAUACAUAUACUAAUGGCAGUAUAAAAUUAAAAUAAUAUUAUAUAUGAUAUAUAUUUCAUAAAAUGUUAUGAUAAAAAUGUGAUAGUCAUUAUACCUGUUCAGGUUGGAGUUGACCUUUAAUUUCCUCAAUAAUUUCAACAUCAUUAGAAACUUUCAUAACUGACAUAGAUUUGCUCCGUGAUUGAACUUUAACCUUAAAUGCCAAAGUACACCCUAAAAUUACAUCUAAAUCAUUUGGAAAGCAUUUGGGAUCAUCCUCACCAACCUAACGUUAAAAUAUAAAGAUGUUAGUAAAUAGAAAUAGUUUUAGUAUAUUGUAAAUAUUUAUAUAUAAACAACAAAAGUUAAAAGGUAGGCUAAUAACCUCAAUCAUAGACUUUCUCAAAUUUGCAGCUGACAUUCCGAUAAUCGAUGCACAAUCUUGAUCCCAAAAAACAAAGUUAGCAUAAUCCUUUCCAUAACAAACUUGAACUUCCAACUUGUACCUAAAGAGUAAAAUUUAUUAAUAACAUUUAAUUUCACAUGAUAGUAUUUAAAUAUGAUUUUAAAUUAAGUAAUUGUCAUAAUAUAUUAAUGUACUAACUUGAGAACAGGAUUGUCAUUGUAUUUGUCACAUUUAUUGCACUUGAAAGCACCUACUUGAUUAGUUUUUUUGUUACAGUGCGUGCAUGCAAAAUAACUCCAACCAUCAUCACUUAAAUUAAAUUUAAUUGUAGUACCCACAGUAACACAAGUCAUCUCCUAUUAAAAUAAGCCAACAGAAAAGUCAGAAUAAUCUUAAUUAUUUGAAAUCAUGUAUCAUAAUUAAUAUGUACUUCAUACACACCUCUUUUAUGGCAUUAAUCUCUGAGAUACUUUUCACUGUCGCUUUAAACAUAAAUCUUUCUUGUUUGCUAUACUGGGAAGAUGUAGGCAUUUGAGUUUGAUGUUGACUUUGACUAAUCUCGGACAAAGGCAUUCUACCAAAUAUCAUACAAAUAAUUAUACAUUAACAUAUAUAUAUAUAUAUAAUUAUCACCCUUCAUUAUGUUAAUUUGACCCAUGUACAAUAAAUAUAAAUAUAAGAAUACAAAUUCACACAUACUCUAUAUAUUUCUCCUUGAAUUCCCUUAUCUCUGGUAUAUCAUCAUCCGUAAACAACUUAGACCCAUGCCAUGAGUUAGAUAUUGAAACAGGCCAUGUUCCUAAACAUAUGUUAUAAUUCAAUAAUUAUUUAAGUAAUUGAAACAUUGUUCAUAUAUAAGUGAAUGAAACAUUGAAUUACCUGAUGGUGCUUUGAUCUUUGCUUGAGUCAAAAUGACUAUUGUUGUAUCAGAAUUUUGUUUUUCGUUCCAAUGGCUUAAAAAUUUGGUUGCAUAGUUAUCCCAUAGGGUGCAUCCAAUUACACUACCACUACAAAUUCAUGAAGUAAACCACAUUAAAUAAUUAUUGUUGCAGCUCCAAUUUCUGAAAAACCUAAUAUUAAUUACCUUAGAUCCAUGACAUUAAAGAACACACAGUUUGAGUUGAGUCUAUUUUUAACAUUGUCCACAGCCCCAAUUAUAUCUUAGAAUCAUGACACCAAACUCAUUAGUUAGCAUAACAUAACCGUGUUUAGAGUAAUGAGUAAUAAGUAGAGAAAUAUAAUAUAGGCUUACCAAUCAAGAUAUCAGUAGUAGAGUAGGUUCCAUCUACAAUUUCCUUUAUACUUUUGAAAUUGUACACUCUGAUAGGCACAUUUGCAAUUUCUUGCGGCUUAAUAGCUGUUGCACCAAUGAACAUUAAUUUAUAGGGGUGUUCACACACUUUAUAUUGUCCUUGGUUCUUUAGGAUUUUGAAAUUGUGCAUAACAUAAGUUUGACCCUCGAUCAAUUUAUCCUCCCACAGCCCUACAUCUUCCUUCUUAACAAAAGCAGGCUUGUACAUUUGUAUGGCGGAGAUACUCGACUGAUAGGGAGAGGAACGAAGUAGCGUGUUGUUGAUAGAACAAGGUAUGAAGUAGCUCGACAUUAUAAAAGGAGAGGGGUUGGCUGGCUUCCCUACUUCGUCUUCUAUCUUUCUUUUUCUUUGAUUUCCGUUCCAGAGUAGGGUACUACAAAUUUGCAAAAAUGUUUUUAUCUACUAUCAUUUUUCUUAUUUCAAGUGCUACCACACAUGACUCAUUUUUAU